UGGGGUAAACGCCCUGGACGGCUUGCUCGACAACUCCUCAAUUUUGUUGACCAUGCUCCUCCUGCAUGGAUCAUUUGCUGGUUCCUGUGUUGAGUACUGUGUUUGCAGAACUUGAUGCCCGUAAUUUAUUUGACUCCAUCUGCUGCCCCAUGUGGUAGCGGACGGACAAGGAGCUUCAUGCCGUGAUCCCCGCUUGCCAUCCUCAAUACGAGCAUGUUUGCGACGGACCACGGGGUGCUUGCGUGUUCUCUCGGAUGCGGAACAUUGAAUUGGCAUUUGGCAUUAUAGCCUCACAGUGCCAUGUCUCAAUGCACCAAAUGAAUGACCGAUACACCGACCGCAGCUGAAUCGUCUAGCAAAGAGCUUCCAGCUAAGAGCUCAGCGAGUCACUCGUCGGUGUGUCUGUCGUCAACGGAUGCUACCUGGUUGAUCCUGCCAGUAGUCAUAUGCUUGUCUCAAAGAUUAGGCCAUGCAUG
rnacentral:misc_RNA from 1 species